ACGGAGAGACAGACAUUUCCACCUUAACUCCACUACAGCUUUGAUAAUGUUACAUCUUAUUGGUUAUGAAAGUUGAACUAAUAGUGUGUGAUAUUAGUGUGUUGUCCAGCUGCUGAAGGAACCACUUUACAAAGACUUCAGAUGGACUCAUUCGUCUGGUUUGUGUCUGUGGUUUACAGCUGUCUUCCACAGUGGUGGACGAAAAGACACUUCUGACUCCUCCUCUAAUGCUCGGUGGAACAGAGCCUGUGACAGCUGGAUACUGGAUGAUCAGCCUUCAGGAUCACAUGUGGGGGCGUCCACCCAACCUUUGUGACAGGGCUUUCUGUUGUUCACAUCUUUAACUGGGAAG